GGCUGUCAACUUUUCCAAAACGACUUUAUGGGUGCAAUACGAAAGCGGCUUUAGUUGUGAAUAAUUAACAAAUAUAUUUGGCUAGGCCUUGAGCUAGAGAUCUGCAAAAACAGGACCGGAAAUUUUUUUUAGAAAAUUUCGGAUUCGGGCCAGGCUAGAAAAAUUAGGCCCAAUGCAGAUCACUACCUUGAGUCAACAAUCCCGAGGUCGAAGUUAGAAUUCACGCUAGACGACCAUUUUUGUGGAUUUAGAUAAAAUUCAAAACAAUUCUCAGCUUUCUGAAUCAUUUAGUCUGGAGACAACCGAACUAUCCGAGAAGGCGGUGGAUGUUGUAACUUUAUCGGAUGAAUUCUUAGUACUACAUGUCUGACUUUCUGGAAUAUAUUUAAACCAUAUGAGAGUACUAUCAAUCAAAGUAUAUUACGAGGUCAACGAUAAA